AUCGCAUCAAAAAAAAUUAUAUUGUUUAAUUUUAUACUUCCGAUAAUUGACUACGGUAUUAUCAUUUGGGCUUCUGUCGCUCCUUAAAUAUAGUUAAUAGAACUUUUGAAAAAGCUAAAUCUAUGUUAUUUAAUCGAACCGUCGCUUGUUCCGAGUAUCACCACUCUACAAAUAUUACGUUAAAUGGACGUGUACUUUAUUUUGAUUUAAAAUAUCUCCAACUAUAUCUAAAUAACUUUGCUGGCCAUUUACAUAUAAUGUUGAAGGUUCCGUUGUCGAAAACUAGAUCUCUUUAUUUUCUCCAUGUCGGUAUUAAACGUUUAAAUAUUUCUAUA
rnacentral:lncRNA from 1 species